rnacentral:tRNA from 1 species
GACAUAAUAGUUUAUAAAAAAACAUGAACUUUGUAAUUUCAAGAAAAAUAUGUCU